rnacentral:piRNA from 1 species
UAAAAUGUAAAUAAAAAUAUCCAAUCAUAGG